AUUCUAGUAGUGCUUGAUCAUUUCACUAGAUUUGCCCAGGCAUAUCCCACGAAGAACAAGAGCGGGAAAACAGCUGCUGAGCGCAUCUUCAAUGAUUUCAUACCCCGGUUUGGAUAUCCAUCCAAACUACAUCAUGACCAGGGUCGUGAAUUUGAGAACAAAUUGUUCCAAUCAUUACAGCAGUUGUCAGGGGUUGGCCACUCGCGGACGUCACCCUAUCACCCACAAGGCAACCCAGCUGAGCGUCUGAACCGCACCAUCCUACAGAUGUUAAGAACAUUGACUGAUAGUGAGAAACUACGGUGGAAGGAUCACCUCCCGCAUGUUCUACACGCAUACAAUUGCACCAGACAUGAGUCAACCGGCUACUCACCGUUUUUUCUCCUCUACGGCCGUCACCCACAUCUCCCAGUCGACUUGCUGUUUGGAUUGGUUGAAGAAAGGGAACCAUACUCACCUAGAGGAUUUGCAGAGAAAUGGGCUAAAAAGAUGUCAGAAGCCUACCGCAUUGCUGGCGAGAAUAGCAAAAAGUCCAGUGCAAGGGGAAAAGUGACGUAUGACAAGAAAGCAAGAGGGGUUGUACUGCAACCAGGGGACAGAGUUCUGGUCCGGAACCUCAGUGAACGUGGAGGGCCGGGAAAAUUAAGGGCAUACUGGGAGAAGACUAUAUACAUAGUCGAACGUCAACUUGCUGAGAACCCAGUGUAUGUUGUCUGCCCUGAAACUGGAGACAAACAGAAAAGCAGGACACUGCACCGUAAUCUCCUGUUGCUGGUGAACGACUUACCUGUCGACGUCACUCCACCUGACACCAGAUCUAUUCCUGAGAAGAAAACACAUAACAGACAAAACCAAGAGAGAAUGACAGACACUCAAAGACGAGCAGACACGAGUGAUGACAGUGAAAAUGAUUCAGAUGAUGAUUCUGGCUCGGGAUACUGGUUAAGGAGACCGACCGAAAGGAUGGAGGAAAGACCUGUCACCUACCAGGAGCAACUCACCAGGUAUCCAGAGAUUCAGGGGUCAGAACCAGCACCUGUAAGGAGAGAAAGUCAUACUGUACCUGAAUACUUACCAAAUCCUACUGAG
ensembl:lncRNA